rnacentral:rRNA from 1 species
GCGUACGGGUUGCGGAACACGUGUGCACUGCCUUUAUCUGGGGGAUAGCCUUUCGAAGGGAAGAUUAAUACCCCAUAAUAUGUUGAAUGGCAUCAUUCGACAUUGAAAACUCCGGUGGAUAGAGAUGGGCACGCGCAAGAUUAGAUAGUUGGUGAGGUAACGGCUCACCAAGUCUACGAUCUUUAGGGGGCCUGAGAGGGUGAUCCCCCACACUGGUACUGAGACACGGACCAGACUCCUACGGGAGGCAGCAGUGAGGAAUAUUGGACAAUGGGUGAGAGCCUGAUCCAGCCAUCCCGCGUGAAGGACGACUGCCCUAUGGGUUGUAAACUUCUUUUGUAUAGGGAUAAACCUACCCUCGUGAGGGUAGCUGAAGGUACUAUACGAAUAACACCGGCUAACUCCGUGCCACACCGGGUAUAACGGAGGGUGCAACGUUAUCCGGAUUAUGGUUUAGGGUCUGUAGGCGGAUCUGUAAGUCAGUGGUGAAUCUCACAGGUUUAUUGUGAAACUGGGCAUUGGAUACUGGGGUCUUGGAGUUGGUUGGUGAAGUAGUUGGAAUAAGUUAGUGGUAGGGGGAAAUUGGCUUAAUUUUAUUUA